rnacentral:rRNA from 1 species
GAUGAACGCUGGCGGCGUGCUUAACACAUGCAAGUCGAACGAAGCAGAUGAGAAAGCUUGCUUUUUUAUUUCGUCUUAGUGGCGGACGGGUGAGUAACGCGUGAGUAACCUGCCCUUCAGUGGGGAAGUAACAUCGAGAAAUACGGUGCUAAUACCGCAUAACGUAUUUAUGUCGCAUGACAUUUAUUACCAAAGGAUUUAUUCGCUGAAGGAUGGACUCGCGUCCGAUUAGAUAGUUGGUGAGAUAAUGGCCCACCAAGUCAACGAUCGGUAGCCGAACUGAGAGGUUGAUCGGCCACAUUGGGACUGAGACACGGCCCAGACUCCUACGGGAGGCAGCAGUGGGGGAAUAUUGGGCAAUGGGCGGAAAGACCUGACCCACGCAACGCCGCGUGAAGGAUGAAGGUCUUCGGAUUG